rnacentral:rRNA from 1 species
AUGAGAACAGAGCCAGUGCACUGGGCAAGGGCUUUUUUUCCAGUGGGAUCCAAUUGUGAGUCUGUUGAUAAUAAUUUGUGUGAAUCCUUCAAUCAUGCAAUUGUUGAAGCAAGGUUUUAUCCAAUAAUUUCAAUGCAAGAAAAAAUAAGGAAAAAGGUUAUGGUUAGAAUUCAGGAACAAAGGGAAAAAGGUCUGAACUUCCAUGGAAAAAUAUGUCCAAGUGCAUUCAAGAAAUUGAAGAGCAGCAUAGCAAGAACCCAGUUCAUGGAAGUACUUUGGAAUGGCAAAGAUGGAUUUGAAGUGAAACUUGUCACUGGGAGAAAAAGGCAGUACACAGUGAGUCUUGACAACUGGACAUGUUCAUGUGGCUACUUCCAGCUAGCAGGUCUACCUUGUUCCCAUGCAAUAACAGCUAUCUACAAGUGUGGAAAAAAUGGAAGAUUUCAUUGCCCCUUGCUAUUUUGUUGA